GCAGUUCCAAAUCACUUUCCAAGAGCGCUUUGAGGCGAAUCAGGAGGAGUUAUACAACCUGCUUGCACGCUGCCAACAGCGCCGGCGUGAACCCGUGCGAGAGUACGCGGAUCGGUUUCGUGACCUGGCGUCGCAGCUGUCGCUCAAUACCUCUGACCCCGUCCAUACCUUCUCCUUCCUUCGUGGGCUACAACCGGACAUCUACGAUCAGGUGUUCUUGCUGAGGCCCAAGACACUUGAAGAAGCAAUUCACGACGCCAUCUACAUUGAGGAAGGCUCGCAAUGCUACUCUGCACCAAGCAGCCGCAGUCACCGGUGGCGUGACCAGUCUCCCGGCCGCCGCCAUGGCCGCAACAGGGACCGGCGGUUCACGGACUGCCACUACCGCUCGUACGAUGAGUCUCAUUACUACGGCAGCCGUCCGUCACGACAUGGGCGCUACUCAUCGCCAUCAACACAACCCCAAGCAAACCGCGGGCGAGGUCACGACCAUCAUGACGUGCAACAAGUCGACUUGUACGACGCCGAUCAAGCGGAUGAAGCCGCUCUUGAGGGUCUUGCCGCUCACAUGGCACGGCUGAUGCGCCUGUUGGAGGAGGUGACAGGGCAAGGACCUCACAUGUUGGACAUGGCGCGAGACAGUCGUUACUACGAGGAAGAUACGUGCUACGUGCCGUAUGAGGAGUAUGAAACACACCCUGACGCCGAGCGAGGGGGCGAGCAGGUGACCGUCCCUUCCACACAACCGUAUGCGCCGGACACCCCUGAGCUCACACCAUAUUCCACACCUGUAACUGCGCUUGCGCACCCACCUCGCGCCACCUUCCCGACGCACGUUUACGUCAUGCAGCAGACCGUAUCCCCGCCGCCAGCAGUAAUACGGGAUGACACGCCCCAGCGGGCAUAUCACUUGGAGCAGAUUCCCGCGCAGCAGCCCGCGCAACCUGCGGAGGAGAGCCAUGAUGGUGCAAGCGAGGACGUGAAAGGCGUGGACAUGUACCCCAUGCCG
rnacentral:lncRNA from 1 species